UACGGAGGGUGCAAGCGUUACUCGGAAUUACUGGGCGUAAAGCGCACGCAGGUGGCUGAGUCAGUCGAUUGUGAAAGCCCUGGGCUUAACCUGGGAAUUGCAGUCGAUACUACUCAGCUAGAGUAUGGGAGAGGGUAGUGGAAUUCCCGGUGUAGCGGUGAAAUGCGUAGAUAUCGGGAGGAACAUCAGUGGCGAAGGCGGCUACCUGGCCCAAUACUGACACUCAGGUGCGACAGCGUGGGGAGCAAACAGG
rnacentral:rRNA from 1 species